rnacentral:rRNA from 1 species
GAUUGCAUAUCAAUAAGCGGAGGAAAAGAAACCAACAGGGAUUGCCCCAGUAACGGCGAGUGAAGCGGCAACAGCUCAAAUUUGAAAUCUGGCCCCUCCGGGUCCGAGUUGUAAUUUGUAGAGGAUGCUUUUGGUGAGGUGCCGCCCGAGUUCCCUGGAACGGGACGCCACAGAGGGUGAGAGCCCCGUCUGGCUGGCCACCGAGCCUCUGUAAAGCUCCUUCGACGAGUCGAGUAGUUUGGGAAUGCUGCUCAAAAUGGGAGGUAUAUGUCUUCUAAAGCUAAAUAUUGGCCAGAGACCGAUAGCGCACAAGUAGAGUGAUCGAAAGAUGAAAAGCACCUUGAAAAGAGGGUUAAACAGUACGUGAAAUUGUUGAAAGGGAAGCGCUUGUGACCAGACUUGGGCGCGGCGGAUCAUCCGGGGUUCUCUCCGGUGCACUUCGCCGCGUUCAGGCCAGCAUCAGUUCGUCGCGGGGGAAAAAGGCUUCGGGAACGUGGCUCCUCCGGGAGUGUUAUAGCCCGUUGCAUAAUACCCUGCGGUGGACUGAGGACCGCGCAUCUGCAAGGAUGCUGGCGUAAUGGUCACCAGCGACCCGUCUUGAAACACGGACCAAU